rnacentral:lncRNA from 1 species
ACACCUUACAGGUGAAUGACCUCCAGGUAGAAUAUACACCUUACAGGGGAAUGACCUCCAGGUAGAAUAUACACCUUACAGGUGAAUGACCUCCAGGAACAGGGGUAGAAUAUACACCUUACAGGUGAAUGACCUCCAGGUAGAAUAUAAACCUUACAGGUGAAUGACCUCCAGGUAGAAUAUAAACCUUACAGGUGAAUGACCUCCAGGUAGAAUAUACACCUUACAGGUGAAUGACCUCCAGGUAGAAUAUAAACCUUACAGGUGAAUGAUCUCCAGGAAUAGGGGUAGAAUAUACACCUUACAGGUGAAUGACCUCCAGGUAGAAUAUACACCUUACAGGUGAAUGACCUCCAGGUAGAAUAUACACCUUACAGGUGACUGACUUCCAGGUAGAAUAUAAACCUUACAGGUGAAUGACCUCCAGGUAGAAUAUACACCUUACAGGUGAAUGACCUCCAGGUAGAAUAUACACCUUACAGGUGAAUGACCUCCAGGAACAGGGGUAG